GAGGACCGGAGUGGACGCAUCACUGGUGUUCGGGUUGUCAUGCCAAUGGCACUGCCCGGUAGCUAAAUGCGGAAGAGAUAAGUGCUGAAAGCAUCUAAGCACGAAACUUGCCCCGAGAUGAGUUCUCCCUGAGACUUUAAGUCUCCUGAAGGAACGUUAAAGACGAUGACGUUGAUAGGCCGGGUGUGUAAGCGCAGCGAUGCGUUGAGCUAACCGGUACUAAUGAACCGUGAGGCUUAACCUUACAACGCCGAAG
rnacentral:rRNA from 2 species